rnacentral:rRNA from 1 species
UGCAGCAGCCAUAUCACCCUGCCAUUCACAAAUAGCAACCCACUGAAGCCAACCAGGUGGGAGCCUGGCUAGUACCUGGAUGGGAGACCUCCUGAGAAAAACUAAGGUAGCUGCUAGAA